rnacentral:rRNA from 1 species
CCUACGGGAGGCAGCAGUGAGGAAUCUUGGUCAAUGGGCGGGAGCCUGACCCAGCCAAGUCGCGUGAGGGAAGACGGUCCUACGGAUUGUAAACCUCUUUUGCCGGGGAGCAACGGGGUCCUUGCGAGGGCCCGCUGAGAGUACCCGGAGAACCAGCAUCGGCGAACUCCGUGCCAGCAGCCGCGGUAAUACGGAGGAUGCGAGCGUUAUCCGUCUUUAUUUGGUUAACAGGGUGCGUAGGCGGGCUGUUCAGUCAGCGGUCAAAUGUCGGGGCACAACCCCGGCCUGCCGUUGAAACUGGCGGCCUCGAGUGGGCGAGAGGUAAGCGGAAGGCGAGGGGUAGCGGUGAAAUGCAUAGAUA